rnacentral:rRNA from 1 species
CUAUGUAGGGAAGGGAUAAACGCUGAAAGCAUCUAAGUGUGAAACCCACCUCAAGAUGAGAUUUCCCAUGAUUAUAUAUCAGUAAGAGCCCUGAGAGAUGAUCAGGUAGAUAGGUUAGAAGUGGAAGUGUGGCGACACAUGUAGCGGACUAAUACUAAUAGCUCGAGGACUUAUCCAAA